AACGAACGCUGGCGGCAGGCUUAACACAUGCAAGUCGAACGCCCCGCAAGGAGAGUGGCAGACGGGUGAGUAACGCGUGGGAACAUACCCUUUCCUGCGGAAUAGCUCCGGGAAACUGGAAUUAAUACCGCAUACGCCCUACGGGGGAAAGAUUUAUCGGGGAAGGAUUGGCCCGCGUUGGAUUAGCUAGUUGGUGGGGUAAAGGCCUACCAAGGCGACGAUCCAUAGCUGGUCUGAGAGGAUGAGCAGCCACAUUGGGACUGAGACACGGCCCAAACUCCUACGGGAGGCAGCAGUGGGGAAUAUUGGACAAUGGGCGCAAGCCUGAUCCAGCCAUGCCGCGUGAGUGAUGAAGGCCUUAGGGUUGUAAAGCUCUUUCACCGAUGAAGAUAAUGACGGUAGUCGGAGAAGAAGCCCCGGCUAACUUCGUGCCAGCAGCCGCCGUAA
rnacentral:rRNA from 1 species